AUUGAACGCUGGCGGCAUGCCUUACACAUGCAAGUCGAACGGCAGCACGGGAGCAAUCCUGGUGGCGAGUGGCGAACGGGUGAGUAAUAUAUCGGAACGUGCCCAGUCGUGGGGGAUAACGCAGCGAAAGCUGUGCUAAUACCGCAUACGAUCUCUGGAUGAAAGCGGGGGACUCAGCAAUGGGCCUCGCGCGAUUGGAGCGGCCGAUAUCAGAUUAGCUAGUUGGUGAGGUAAAGGCUUACCAAGGCGACGAUCUGUAGCGGGUCUGAGAGGAUGAUCAGCCACACUGGAACUGACACACGGUCCAGACUCCUACGGGUGGCUG
rnacentral:rRNA from 1 species